AAUUAAAAAAAUACGAGAAAUAUUAGUCGUAAGUUAUUUGAAGUACUUCAUGCAUUCCCAUAGCAGUUUUGAUUGGCUUGUGAAUGAUAUUAAAGCUUUCAGCGCCGCUUGGCUAUCUGAAAAUAUGCAAAGCCGUGCAUGCCUGUAUUUCCUUCUCAGACACAAAGAUGCACAUUCUAGUAUGGCAUAAAUUUAUGCAAGGAAAACAGUGGCCCAUCUUCCCUAAUGAAGAUCUUGCUUCAAUAGAGGAAUGGGCGGCACAAAAAACGGCCUGUCGCCGAAUCCGAAGAAAACACAAACGAUAAUUUUCAGUGACAACGGCUCUGAAUACCAAAACAGGAUAUCAUCUUCAGGGACACGGUGAUCCCGCCGUGCAAUCAUGUCAUAAAUCUCGGACUACACAUGGACAAUAAAUUAUCCUGGGCGCAUCAGGUCAACGACGUUACGAUGAGGUCUACAACACUCUACACGAAUCGUUGUGACUUUCGACGUCGUGAUUCAACAGCUACCGUUCGAAAUUCCAUUCUAGGACAUUAUAUGCCAACCAACUAACUAUCAACUUCGAGUAUGUUGCUUAAUGAAGCAGGCAUUUGAGAAGUUGGUGCCCGGUUAUCUCAUGCAGAACAUACAACAAGGACGUCAUGAACGCACAGCCAAUCUUAUUGUGCCCAGGCACUCAACCUCGGGCGGCAAAAGUUUACUGGUGAAUGGCGCAAUAUGGUGAAUGGACUACC